UACGGGGGGGGCAAGCGUUGUUCGGAAUUACUGGGCGUAAAGGGCUCGUAGGCGGCCAACUAAGUCGGACGUGAAAUCCCUCGGCUUAACCGGGGAACUGCGUCCGAUACUGGAUGGCUUGAGUGUGGGAGAGGGAUGCGGAAUUCCAGGUGUAGCGGUGAAAUGCGUAGAUAUCUGGAGGAACACCGGUGGCGAAGGCGGCAUCCUGGACCAAUACUGACACUGAGGAGCGAAAGCCAGGGGAGCAAACGGG
rnacentral:rRNA from 1 species